rnacentral:rRNA from 1 species
GACGAACGCUGGCGGCGUGCUUAACACAUGCAAGUCGAACGGAAAGGCCCUGCUUUUGUGGGGUGCUCGAGUGGCGAACGGGUGAGUAACACGUGAGUAACCUGCCCUUGACUUUUGGAUAACUUCAGGAAACUGGGGCUAAUACCGGAUAGGAGCUCCUGCUGCAUGGUGGGGGUUGGAAAGUUUCGGCGGUUGGGGAUGGACUCGCGGCUUAUCAGCUUGUUGGUGGGGUAGUGGCUUACCAAGGCUUUGACGGGUAGCCGGCCUGAGAGGGUGACCGGCCACAUUGGGACUGAGAGACGGCGCAGACUCCUACGGGAGGCAGCAGUGGGGAAUAUUGCACAAUGGGCGGAAGCCUGAUGCAGCAACGCCGCGUGCGGGAUGACGGCCUUCGGGUUGUAAACCGCUUUCGCCUGUGACGAAGCGUGAGUGACGGUAAUGGGUAAAGAAGCACCGGCUAACUACGUG